AGAGGAGACAGCCUCAGUGUUGUUGAAGUUGGCACAGCAAGAAAGUUCCAAAGGAUACAGCAUUCCUGUUAAUCCAGAGCAUGUAACCAAAGCCAAACAGGUAGUGAAUUUCUACCUCACAUUACCUCACAUCAGUUAUGUUACUGCUUUGUGUUUGGCAGUGAAUUUUAGAAAUGUUGCAGACUUCAUAAACAGUUCUGCAGAGACUGUACGAGACAAGGGUCGAAUUUCACUGCAGAAAGCAACAGCCAUCAAGCAGUACCUAUGCAGAGGUUUUAGACCAGAUAUGCUGCCUCCUCAGUAACUUUAGGUCUUUUCUUGACUACCUUGUAAAUUUGGCUGGCUGCUAAAAAAAAAAAUCACAAUACCACGGCUGGAACGAAUCCAUUGUUCCUCUUUGCCCUGGAUCAUUUUCAGGUCACAUUGGUUGUGCUGUGAUCAUGGUAAAGGAUGACCAUGAUCACUUUACCUUUCUAGACACUAAGCUUUUCAUAUAUCAGUAGUAUAUUAUUUAAAAAAUGCUGAUAAUUCUUGUUAUACAAUUAAUUUUUUUAAUAAUAAUAGUAUACGUAUAAUACUUUGGUAAAUGUUAAUAAGCACGCACUUGUACAUAAGCUUAAAUAUUUAUUGUGUUUGAUUCCUGCUGUGCAAUAUUCCAGGGAUUCCUCAUUUUUAACCAAAAUUUUAAUUCCUCUACCUCUAAGACACUUACCUGAAAGCCAACUUUCAAAUAUUCUUAUUAUUAUAUACUAAAACAUUUGUUUUUUUUACCGUAUGGCAGUCUCCCACUGACACCUUGGAGAUGUCCUGUCUAAGGGCAAUGUGUGGUGUAAAUAUUAUGCAGAAAAUUUGGAGUGUGGAAAUUAGGAGAAGGUGUGGAGUUAAUAAAAGUAUUAGUCAGAGGGCUGAGGAGGGGUUGUUGAGGUGGUUUGGUCAUUUAGAGAGAAUGGAUCAAAGUAGAAUGACAUGGAGAGUGUAUAAAUCUGUAGGGGAAGGAAGGCGGGGUAGGGAUCGUCCUCGAAAAGGUUGGAAGGAAGGGGUAAGGGAGGUUUUGUGGAGGAGGGGCUUGGACGUCCAGCAGGCGUGCAUGAGCGUGUUCUAUAGGAGUGAAUGGAGACGAAUGGUAUUUGGGACCUGACUUAUCUGUUGAAGUGUGAGCAGGUAAUAUUUAGUGAAGGGAUUCAGGGAAACCAGUUAUUUUUAUCUAGCUGGACUUGAGUCCUGGAAAUGGGAAGUACAAUGCCUGCGCUUUAAAGGAGGGGUUCGGGAUAUUAGCAGUUUGGAGGGAUACGCUGUGUAUCUUUUAACGUAUAUGCUUCUAAACUGUUGUGUUUGAGCACCUCUGCAAAAACAGUGAUCAUGUGUGUGAGGUGAAAGCGUUGAAUGAUGAUGAAAGUAUUUUCUUUUUAGGGAUUUUCUUUCUUUUUGGGUCACCCUGCCUCG